rnacentral:rRNA from 1 species
CAGCCGCCGCGGGAAUACGGAGGGUGCAAGCGUUAAUCGGAAUUACUGGGCGUAAAGCGUGCGUAGGCGGUUCGUUAAGUCUGUUGUGAAAGCCCCGGGCUCAACCUGGGAAUGGCAAUGGAUACUGGCGAGCUAGAGUGUGUCAGAGGAUGGUGGAAUUCCCGGUGUAGCGGUGAAAUGCGUAGAGAUCGGGAGGAACAUCAGUGGCGAAGGCGGCCAUCUGGGACAACACUGACGCUGAGGCACGAAAGCGUGGGGAGCAAACAGGAUUAGAUACCCCAGUAGUCCCUGUCUCUUAUAC